CAAUAAAUAGUUUAUUUAAAAUKUAGGUUUUGGGAAUCUAGGAAAUAUAAUUUAGUAUUUUAUUGA
rnacentral:tRNA from 1 species